AUUUGGAGUUGUGUUGGCAACUGAUAAAUUUGCAGCAACAACAGUGAUAUGAGAGUAAACCAAACCAUAAACUAACAAAGGGAACUGCCAAGUCUGGUGAUAAUUAUUGUGGUUGCAGCAAAAACACCAAAUCAUGAACUAGCAAAGGGAACUGCAGAAUCUGGUGAUAAUUCUGGUCUCACUGUCAGACGGACAUUCAGCUGGCCUCCAAAGCAGUACCUGAGGUGUGCAGGAGUUUGAAGAAACCAGAAGAACAAGGUUUGGAUAUGAGACGAGCCGACUGAUCACUGGCAGCGGUGCGAAGAAGUGUUGUGCCCACUGUCUGCAAGUCUGACUGGUGGUUUGUGGCGUGACGCCCCGAGACAGCAUGCGGAGGUUACGACAUGCCCGAUGGAAGGCGACGCCUGCAGCCGAAACAGAUCUGCGUUGACAGACAGGCAGGUUACUGUCCCUUUAGCAAGCCUGGCAUUCCCGGGACGCUGAGGCCCAGCAAUGGCAGCGGCUUUCCUUUCCUCCGGAGUCUCAAGCAUGAGCAGACACACGUACAAACACACACAUACAGAUAGCGUGCCAAAUUCCACAGAGCCAUAAAGGCAAUCAGGACAGAUGAGAAAAGCAACAGUGGCGUUAAGCUGCAUGCAGAGGGGACUGGAAGGUGCCACAAUAACACUCAGAGAAGUGCUUUAUGUUGCAGGAAGAGUUCACCACUUUGGGAAAUAACCUUUAUUUACAUUCUUCCUGCAUGGUUAGCUUGGUAAAAACAUAAUUGCAAAUAGAAACAGCACCUCUAAAACACAAAUCCAACAUGUAUGAAUAUAAAAAGUGUUUUUUUACAGGG
ensembl:lncRNA